AAGGAAAAUUUUUUAAAUUUUCAUCUUCAGUUUUGAAAGACUUAGUUCUUAUUAUAAGUUUUUCUUUUUUAAGAAAAAAAGAAGGGGCCUAUAGCUCAGUUGGUUAGAGCACACGCCUGAUAAGCGUGAGGUCGAUGGUUCAAGUCCAUUUAGGCCCACCAACUGAAAAGGUCUUCUUUCUUGUUCUUAAAAAAAGUUCUUUGAAAAGUAGAUAAACAAAGUAAAAUAAAAAAACC
rnacentral:misc_RNA from 1 species